rnacentral:rRNA from 1 species
UGCCUAACACAUGCAAGUCGAGCGAUUUACUUCGGUAAAGAGCGGCGGACGGGUGAGUAACGCGUGGGUAACCUGCCCUGUACACACGGAUAACAUACCGAAAGGUAUGCUAAUACGGGAUAAUAUAAGAGAGUCGCAUGGCUUUCUUAUCAAAGCUCCGGCGGUACAGGAUGGACCCGCGUCUGAUUAGCUAGUUGGUAAGGUAACGGCUUACCUAGGCGACGAUCAGUAGCCGACCUGAGAGGGUGAUCGGCCACAUUGGAACUGAGACACGGUCCAAACUCCUACGGGAGGCAGCAGUGGGGAAUAUUGCACAAUGGGCGAAAGCCUGAUGCAGCAACGCCGCGUGAGCGAUGAAGGCCUUCGGGUCGUAAAGCUCUGUCCUCAAGGAAGAUAAUGACGGUACUUGAGGAGGAAGCCCCGGCUAACUACGUGCCAGCAGCCGCGGUAAUACGUAGGGGGCUAGCGUUAUCCGGAAUUACUGGGCGUAAAGGGUGCGUAGGUGGUUUCUUAAGUCAGAAGUGAAAGGCUACGGCUCAACCGUAGUAAGCUUUUGAAACUGAGAAACUUGAGUGCAGGAGAGGAGAGUAGAAUUCCUAGUGUAGCGGUGAAAUGCGUAGAUAUUAGGAGGAAUACCAGUUGCGAAGGCGGCUCUCUGGACUGUAACUGACACUGAGGCACGAAAGCGUGGGGGAGCAAACAGGAUUAGAUACCCUGGUAGUCCACGCCGUAAACGAUGAGUACUAGCUGUCGGAGGUUACCCCCUUCGGUGGCGCAGCUAACGCAUUAAGUACUCCGCCUGGGAAGUACGCUCGCAAGAGUGAAACUCAAAGGAAUUGACGGGGACCCGCACAAGUAGCGGAGCAUGUGGUUUAAUUCGAAGCAACGCGAAGAACCUUACCUAAGCUUGACAUCCUUCUGACCUCUCCCUAAUCGGAGAUUUCCCUUCGGGGACAGAAGUGACAGGUGGUGCAUGGUUGUCGUCAGCUCGUGUCGUGAGAUGUUGGGUUAAGUCCCGCAACGAGCGCAACCCUUGCCUUUAGUUGCCAGCAUUAAGUUGGGCACUCUAGAGGGACUGCCAGGGAUAACCUGGAGGAAGGUGGGGAUGACGUCAAAUCAUCAUGCCCCUUAUGCUUAGGGCUACACACGUGCUACAAUGGGUGGUACAGAGGGCAGCCAAGUCGUGAGGCGGAGCUAAUCCCUUAAAGCCAUUCUCAGUUCGGAUUGUAGGCUGAAACUCGCCUACAUGAAGCUGGAGUUACUAGUAAUCGCAGAUCAGAAUGCUGCGGUGAAUGCGUUCCCGGGUCUUGUACACACCGCCCGUCACACCACGGAAGUUGGGGGCGCCCGAAGCCACUUAGCUAACCUUUUGGAAGCGAGUGUCGAAGGUGAAAUCAAUAACUGGGGUGAAGUA